GGCUCCAGACUCCGAGCUGUCAGCACAGAGCCGGAUGUGAGGCUCGAACUCACAGAUGGUGAGAUCAUGACCUGGGCCAAAGUCGGACACCUAAACCGAAUGAGCCACCCAGAUGCCCCUAGAACUUCUUCAAAAUGCAAACAGCCUGGUUAAAAUGCAGAUUUCCAGGCCUGACAGUCUGGUUCAUAAGUUGUGGGAGCAGGGAGCGGCCAGGCGGUCCUGAAACAAGUGAUCCAGGAGGACGGCGAGCAGGAGGGGAGAAGUGGGUGGGCCUGGGGCACUCUCUGGAGGCGCAGUCGACAGCAGCUUGGUCCCGGAAGGAAUACGGGGUGAGCCCAAAAGGGAGAAGACCCAGACGGCACCCUGGCCGACCUGCUGGGGGCACAGUAGCGUGGUGGCUCCACGAGGCAGUAGACCGACCCGAGACAGAGACCGCAGAGAAGGGGUGAUGUGAGAAUCCAGGGGUGCAGGGACAUGAUCGUGUAAAUAGGAUUUCCUCAAUCACAGCAUUUACUGCAGUGUUUUACCUCUCCUAACAAUUUAUUUCAAGCAACGAGAAAACCCCUGCCAUUAGAAAUAUUUCCUAAAGAUUCUGCCCUUUCCCACCUGGUGACGUGUGGCACACAGACAGGAUUUCGUCGGUCUUUGGAGAUUUAAUACACACGCACCUCCGCGUCACCAGUGAGAGCUCUGCCUGCCCAGUGGCCUUGAACCUUGCCGGGCCCUUGACCACGUGACCACGAGCACCUAGCUCGGCUCUGCUCUGUCAUCCGUCACACCGGAAGCGUGCAGAGCUGUCGUGAGCUGCCCUCCCCUGCCCUCUCUGGGGACAACACCAGGAGAGGGGUCAAGACCUUGCAACUGAAUAAAGGCUGAGCCGCCCACUCUGGGCCGUUUUGGGAGAAAAAGGCUCGUCUCAAAUUCACUCAAGAGACCAGGUACAGCCUCCGAAAGCCCUAACUGGAACCAAACUGUAGGACUUACCCACCUAGAAAAAGGACUUUUAUUCUUAGAGCUGACGUCUUCUUUUCCGAUGAAAUACAAAUCUCCUAGGAAGGAGACACUAAAACUGGCAGUUCUGCACCUUAAUGACGGUUUCUAGAAAGUUUUUCCCUGCCCACAGGGUUUAACAGCGAAAACUCAAGGUGCCAGCAUCCAAUGGUGGAAGAGGCUUCGGGUCACACACCUCUACCUGCAAAUCCUCCCACGGCCACCACCUCCACCAUCAGACUCUCAAGGCACAGCUGGGACGUUUCAGCAGCCAAGUCAGAGCCUUCCAGAAAGAGAACGGCAGUCAGCCACACCCGCCGACGUCCGCUCUUCCCUCUUCAAAGACUCGCAGGGCACACGGGAGAGGUGUGUAAACAGCCUCUUCCAGGCUCUGUGUGUCUACAAAUGGCCGGAAGCACGUUCAUUAUUCUCCUUAAGAUGCCUUUUAAAAAUUCACAAAGACCUGACGCACGCGUGUGUUUACAAGCGACCUUUCUGAAGGGCUGCUGCUGGUGUAUUCUUAGACAUCUGUUUCCUAACGGGUUAUGGGACACCUGAGAGACUGAGAUAAAAAAGGAAAACUGAACUUUCUGACAUCGCCACUCUGGGCUGGGAGCAGAAAACAUGCCUACGUGCCCACAAAACAUAAAAGGUCAAGAGAGCGAGAAUUUAUGAGUGACGUUGAGUCAGAGUGCCAAAAAGGAAAGUUUACAAGAAAAAAGAUACGUACAGAAUAUAUAAAACAUACGAGACCGUAUACAGUUGGCCGCUGAACGUGGCUUUGAACCACGCAUGUCCACUUAUACGUGGAUGAUUCUCACACGCAAGCCUGCCUCCUUUCCAGAGCAGAGCCAUGCCCUCACUCUUGAGACCUGGCCCCGCCCCCUCACACCCCCGACGUCUAUGGGCUCACUCCCGAGCCAGUUCUGACAAGAGACAUCAGGCACCCACCUCUGAUCGAGCACAGCCCAGGCAGGACGGGGAGCAGAACCAACAGCCCAACUGUUCUGGACACCCCAGCAAGACGCUGCGCGGAGCCGUGAACGUUUCUAGACAAACUCAGAUGUUCCCGUCGCAGUGUGCUCAUCGAGAAAACAAAGGAGUCGGCAGCAGGGCCAGCAACCCGCUUAGCAAGAGUGAGAGUGAAUGAGGAGGGGCAGAAAGAGAGAAAGAAAGAGAG